CGCGUGAGUGAAGAAGGCUUCGGGUUGUAAAAGCUCUUUUGUCAGAGAAGAAACAGAGCUCUAACACAGUUUGCGAAUGACGGUACCUGAAGAAUAAACACCUGGCUACCUACGUGCCAGCAAGCGCGGUAAUACGUAGGGUGCAAAGCGUUAAUCGGAAUUACUGGGCGUAAAGCGUGCGCAAGCGGUUAUGUAAGACACGCGUGAAAUCCCCGGGCUUACCUGAGAAUUGCGCUUGUGACUGCAUAGCUAGAGUAUGUCAGAGGGGGGUAGAAUUCCACGUGUAGCAGUGAAAUGCGUAGAGAUGUGGAGGAAUACCAAUGGCGAAGGCAGCCCCCUGGGAUAAUACUGACGCUCAUGCACGAAAGCGUGGGGAGCAAACAGGAUUAGAUACCCUGGUAAUCCAAGCCCUAAAAGAUGCUGACUAGUCGUACGGGAAUCUAUUCCUGAGUAACGUAGCUAACGCGUGAAGUCAAGCGCCUGGGGAGUACGGUCGCAAGAUUAAAAUCAAAGGAAUAGACGGGGACCCGAACAAGCGGUGGCAUCGAUGUGGAUUAAUUCCGAUGCAACGCGAA
rnacentral:rRNA from 1 species